rnacentral:rRNA from 1 species
GAUGAACGCUGGCGGCGUGCCUAAUACAUGCAAGUCGAGCGAACGGACGAGAAGCUUGCUUCUCUGAUGUUAGCGGCGGACGGGUGAGUAACACGUGGAUAACCUACCUAUAAGACUGGGAUAACUUCGGGAAACCGGAUCUAAUACCGGAUAAUAUUUUGAACCGCAUGGUUCAAAAGUGAAAGACGGUCUUGCCGUCACUUAUAGAUGGAUCCGCGCUGCAUUAGCGAGUUGGUAAGGUAACGGCUUACCAAGGCAACGAUGCAUAGCCGACCUGAGAGGGUGAUCGGCCACACUGGAACUGAGACACGGUCCAGACUCCUACGGGAGGCAGCAGUAGGGAAUCUUGCGCAAUGGGCGAAAGCCUGACGGAGCAACGCCGCGUGAGUGAUGAAGGUCUUCGGAUCGUAAAACUCUGUUAUUAGGGAAGAACAUAUGUGUAAGUAACUGUGCACAUCUUGACGGUACCUAAUCAGAAAGCCACGGCUAACUACGUG